rnacentral:rRNA from 1 species
CUGCUUAAACAUGCAAAGUCGAACGCAAGUAGCAAUACUUGAGUGGCGGACGGGUGAGUAACGCGCCCUUUUCUACCUUUAGGACUGGGACAACAGCUGGAAACGGCUGCUUUUACCGGAUGUGCCGCAACGUGAAAGAUUUAUCGCCUAAAGAAGAGCUCGCGUCUGAUUAGCUAGUUGGUGGGGUAAAAGCCUACCAAGGCAGCGAUCAGUAGCUGGUCUGAGAGGAUGAUCAGCCACACUGGGACUGAGACACGGCCCAGACUCCUACGGGAGGCAGCAGUGGGGAAUUUUCCGCAAUGGGCGAAAGCCUGACGGAGCAAGACCGCGUGAGGGAGGAAGGCUCUUGGGUCGUAAACCUCUUUUGUCAGGGAAGAACACAAUGACGGUACCUGACGAAUCAGCCUCGGCUAACUCCGUGCCAGCAGCCGCGGUAAUACGGAGGAGGCAAGCGUUAUCCGGAAUUAUUGGGCGUAAAGCGUCCGUAGGUGGCUUAUCAAGUCUGCGGUC